rnacentral:tRNA from 1 species
GGGUCGGUAGCUCAGUGGUAGAGCAUCUGGCUCUUAACCAGUUGGCCGUGAGUUCGAUCCUCACCCGACCCACCA